UGCUUAGGAUGUGUCACAAGUGGUGUUUGCGAUGCACCAGACUCAUGACAGACCUAUGACGUCUGAAAAUGACCAAUAUUCUAUUCAUUAGCAGGAGUAUUCUAACAUUCAUGAAAAACAAGGAUGAACUGUGGUUUAUUUGUUUUUUUGCUUAAAUCUAAAAAUUGAAGUUAGUUUAGCAGUUGACUGUUGCAGUCAUUUGGAUGUUUUGCAUGCAUUUCACUAGGAAGACUAAGAGCUAAGACUUUUUUAUUGCCAUGGCCUUGACUGUCUUGAUGUUGUUUUGCACCGUGCCCUUGUGUUGACUUUUGCAUACGAUAUUUUUCAGGCACCCGCUUUAUAUAACGCAAGAAGGCAGCUGCAAGGACACGAGGAUGUGAAAGAGCCAGUGCAGCGCGACUUCACGUAGUGCAGAGGAGCCAAUGCCAAAAAAUCAAAAUACAUUGGCAUGUUAUUUGGACAAGAAAACUAGUGUGUGGGUAUAUUGGGUGUACCAUUUGACCAAAUGUCAACAAAAUCAAGAUACAGUAUGUUACACGAAGAUGAAAAUUCUCACGUGCUCCAGGCAGUCAUCUUAACAUGGUAUAUUUAUGUAAUGUCUCUGAUUGGAAAGUCAAAUCAAGUAUGCUCUCUGGAGACAAACACAUAGCAGCAAGUGUCAUUGAAAAGUUAAAAAUGUGUUUUAAGAAAGCUGAUUAGUUCUGAGAAGUGACUGCUUUUUGUCUUGCCUCUCGACAGAUAUAUCCAUCUGAUAAAAAAAUAGUGGUACAAUGAAAUUGCAUAUUUGCUUAGCGACAUGAUACAUACUUGCAAUGAGCACGGUGCCUGUGUUUACUAUAAAAAGCAACAGCCCAUGCUUGGUUAGGUUAGGCCCACUACAACAUGCAGGCAUGGGUGAUUGGCGCUUUUUUUAUUUCUGUGUCGUGAGGUUUAUUGACGUGCGUAUAGGUGCAGUGGCACGCAGUAUGGCUAGUACAAAAAAGGGGAGGGGGGGCAGAUAUAUGUAGCUCACUGUACACGACACAGGGCAAAGGAAAUCCGUGUUCAGCAACUAUGUUAAAUGCCAUGUACGUAAAUUUUACAAUGCUACUCGUUCGAAGCGCGCACAGGUGCAUAUUGAAGAAAAGUUUCCAGGGUAGAUAAUUUAGUUCGUAAUUUACACUAAUUUUGCUCUAACCACGAGACAUAAUAAUUUGAAUAUACUGCACGGAAAAACCUAGAGCGAAUUAAAUUGUGUGUCAGCUUCGUGUGUAUACAUAUAGUCUUUCCUAUGCAUUAGGUUUUUUGCGUAAUGCAUUAACAGUUGACAGCCUAUCUUAAAUGUGUACUCUGUUUACACAACAGUUGUUUAUUAGUUUACUCGUUUGUUUUGCGACUGAUGAAAUGCUGGCAUAUAUAUAUUUUCAACAUUUGACAUAACCCUGUAUGUUUUGCAGGAACAACCCAGGACGUGCAUUUCUCAGCACCCAGUCAACUGCCAAAAGUGACUCAAACACAGGCCACCAGUGGAACUCGGCUGUACCACUGCAGUGCUGCGGAAAUUGCCUUCACCAGCGGCUUUGCAACAGCUGUUUCGCAGCAUGUCGGAUACAAUGCCUACGAAAUUAUUGGCCCUGAUCAUGAGAGCCCUCAAGGGGCAAACAACAUCGCUGUUGCGGAAGUGAGCCCGAUACCACUUGGAAGUUACCAUGACAGAUGACACGGCAGCAAUAGAUACAGAGACUGCCAUGUCUACUGCAGCUGCAACAGUGUACGAGGCAAGCAGCAGCGCGUCAGCAUCAGCAGCAGUGUCAGAAGGAACCACACCAGGCCUGGUAGAGCAACAUGUGUGCUAUCACUGACUUUUUUUGUAGUGGAUACAACUCAUUUGCUCAACAUACAAAAGCUUUUCACCACGACUGUGAGCCAGUGUUAUUGUGCAGCAAGUGCAAGACUAAGUUAGGUGUUAUAACACAGUAUAAGCAUCACUUUAAUAUAUGCAAAUGCAAACAUAUUACAGUUGUUGCCUCCCCAGCCAGCCCACAUAGUGACAACAAUGUGGAACACAUGGUGGGACACACCUCUCCCCCAUUACAAGAUAGUAGAGACUGUCAGUGUUGUUGCUAGAUUGACUGGUCUUUGUAGGCAACUAGAAGGACAACACAGGUGUCAUAAGAUUGUUGUUGAUGUUGUUGUUGAAGAGGUAAAAAAGAAGUUUGAUGCAGCUGAAGUGCCAACUGAUAUUGAGCAAAUCAAAAGCAACCACCUGAGAAAGCAACACUAUCGAAAUUUGGGUAUCUAUGUGCCGCCAACUCUGGUAAGAAUGGCAUAGGACAGAAGUGUGAUGAAAAUCACACAGACACUGCUGUUGCAUCACUGGCCACAGUGAGCAGCGACUUGUAGGGCAAGAGAGUCAACUGAAACUAACAUUAUGAUAUAGUGUCAUGCUCCCAUGUGACCACUUUUCAAGUUAUUUUGCUAGAUACAGCUCAACCUCCAGAAACGAAACUGCAACUUGUCUGUAAAAAAGCUUUCACAAAAAAUUAUUCAUAACACUAUUAACGUAGCAGUAUCUUUCUUUUUGUGUCGGUUCGAGGUUCCCGGCUGUCCAUUAAUGCAAAUAUUGAGGAAAAAAGGAACAUGUGUCGUACUUACACCUUUUUAACAAGUACGAGGGGGACAGAACUUUUCUAGUCAUGCAUCUUCAUCAUACUAUCAAGUUUUUAAAUGCCUUUUAUAAUUAUUAUUACCAGUUAUAUCUGAGUGCAUUGUAUGCAUGUAGCAGGUGUAAAAUCAGGUCAGCUGGAUCAGAUGCCUUAUCUGCAAGCGAGCCCUAUAUUCAAGAAAUUUGAAUUAAAAUAGUUACGUUAGAGACGCAGUCUUUCAGCACUUUAUUGCCUGUGGUUUAAGCAUUGCUCAAUACUUUUGUGGGUGGCAAUUUCAACCGGCACAGCACUGCGCUUUGCCACAGUCACAUUUGUCUUCAAAGCGGUGUUUACCAUUUGUGUUGAUGUGUUUGUGUAUGCAUAGAGCAAGUUUUUAAUUUAUAUUUUUCUGCAUUCUUGUGCUUGCACUAAGCUUGUAUAAGGCAGUUACAAAAUGUGCGUCACUAUAACGAACUGUUCUGUUGAGCUUACACUUGCAAAUAAUCGUGUUCAGAUGGCCGCACUUCUAUGCGGGUGCACCGCUAGCUUUGUGUAUGUUCUGAUGUUUGUAUAAAGCUUAUAUAAGCUAGUUAGAAAAUGUAUGUCACUAAGCAUUGUGAUAUUCUUUAAAGAACUGCUUGGUUGGUUUUACACUUGUGAAUUAGUAUUGAGGCGGUGGUAUUCCCAUGUAUGCCCACUGCUAGCUUUCUGUGUCCUCACGUGUUUGUAUUAAGUUUCUACAAGGGAGUUACAGCAUGUACGUCACUAAGCGCUGUGAUAUUUUUUAAAGAACUGCUUUGUUGGUUUUACACCUGUGAGUAAUAGUACUCGGGUGGCACUAGUCAUGUGUAGAUACACAGGGACCAUUUGUAUACAUUAUGCUCAUGUAAAGCAGUUACAAAGUGCAUGUCACUAAUUACUGUGAUAUUUGUUGAAUUGCUGUGAUGGUUUUACACAUAUGAAUAUUAGUGGUCAGGACACAGUACUUGCGGUGUAUAGUUGAAUUUAUACACUGCCAAGACAUGGGCUGUAUACGUACCAAAAGAAAUGUAUGUCAUCAUAUUGUUGUGAUUAUUACUGUUUGGAUUUUAUUAAACUGUAAUAAAAUUGUUUCUUGUAUCUAUUGAGGUAUGGCAAUUUGUCAUGCAACCAAACUGAGGACCUGCACUUGUGCAUA